rnacentral:miRNA from 1 species
UACAGUGAUCAGGUUACGACGGAU